AUUGAACGCUGGCGGCAGGCCUAACACAUGCAAGUCGAACGAGUGGCGGACGGGUGAGUAAUGUCUGGGAAACUGCCUGCUGGAGGGGGAUAACUACUGGAAACGGUAGCUAAUACCGCAUACCAUCAGAUGCGCCCAGAUGGGUUUAGCUUGUGGGUGGGGUAAAGGCUCACCAAGGCGACGAUCCCUAGCUGGUCUGAGAGGAUGACCGGCGCCACUGGAACGGGGCCACGGUCCAGACUCCUACGGGAGGCAGCAGUGGGGAAUAUUGCGCAAUGGGCGCAAGCCUGGUGCAGCCAUGCCGCGUGUAUGAAAAAGGCCUUCGGGUUGUAAAGUACUUUCAGCGGGGAGGCGUUACCCGCAGAAGAAGCACCGGCUAACUCCGUGCCAGCCGCCGCGGUAAUUC
rnacentral:rRNA from 1 species